GAGAAACUGAGGCACAGAGAAGUCAAACAGCUUGUCAAAGAUACCACGCUAAAGGGCAGACCUGGGAACACAGAGCAGUUCUUUCCAGCCAUGGGAACCUCCAGUCCUGCCAGUGUUCCUGAGUUACUGUCUUCUCUCUAGACCUCAGUUUCCCUGUCCGCACAAUAGAGAUUUACGUUUCCUGGACAUUUCAUAUACAUGGACUGAAUACAACGUGUGGUGGUUUGUGUCUGGUUUGCUCAACUUAGCAUGACGUUUCUGAGAUUCAUGUUUUAAUAUGUAUCAGUAUUUCUUUCCUUUUUUAUGCCCGAAUAGUAUUCUGUUGUGCGACUAUACCACAUUUUAUCCAUCCAUUCACCAGCAUUUGAUCGUUUUAAUGAUUUCUGCUUUUUGGCUGUUGUGAAUAAAACUGC